AAUCAACGCUGGCGGCGUGCCUAACACAUGCAAGUCGAACGCGAAAGCCCCUUCGGGGGCAAGUAGAGUGGCGUCCGGGUGAGUAACACGUGGGUAAUCUACCUCCGGGUGGGGAAUAACUCGCCGAAAGGCGGGCUAAUACCGCAUAAUGCAGCGGCACCGAAUGGUGAUUAGUUGUUAAAGCGGGGGACCUUAGGGCCUCGCGUCUGGAGAGGAGCCUGCGGCAGAUUAGCUUGUUGGUAGGGAAUGGCCUACCAAGGCUGCGAUCUGUAGCUGGUCUGAGAGGACGGCCAGCCACACUGGCACUGACACACGGGCCAGACUCCUACGGGAGGCAGCAGUGGGAAUUUUGGGCAAUGGGCGAAAGCCUGACCCAGCAACGCCGCGUGAAGGAGGAAAUCCUUCGGGAUGUAAACUUCACAAGCAAGGGAAGAGCGCGCAGGGUCGAAUAAACUCUGCGUCCGACGGUACCUUGCGUAAGCCACGGCUAACUACGUGCCAGCAGCCGCC
rnacentral:rRNA from 1 species